AACGUUGGCGGCACGCUUAACACAUGCAAGUCGAACGAGAAACCCGAGCUUGCUCGGGUGGACAGUGGCAGACGGCUUAGUAACGCGUGGGUAUCUACCUAGAGGUUUGGAACAACUAUUGGAAACGAUAGCUAAUACCAAAUAUUCCCUAAGGGGGAAAGAUUUAUCGCCUUUAGAUGAGCCCGCGUCGGAUUAGCUUGUUGGUAGGGUAAAGGCCUACCAAGGCAACGAUCCGUAGCUGGUCUGAGAGGAUGAUCAGCAAGAUUGGGACUGAGACACGGCCCAGACUCCUACGGGAGGCAGCAGUGGGGAAUAUUGCGCAAUGGGCGAAAGCCUGACGGAGCAAUACCGCGUGAGGGAUGACGGCCUGUGGGUUGUAAACCUCUUUUUUCAGGGAGGAAGUUCUGACGUGUACCUGAAGAAUAAGCAUCG
rnacentral:rRNA from 1 species